rnacentral:rRNA from 1 species
ACAAUGAAGAGUUUGAUCCUGGCUCAGGAUGAACGCUAGCUACAGGCUUAACACAUGCAAGUCGAGGGGCAGCAUGGUCUUAGCUUGCUAAGGCU